GAAAAUUAUAUUGUUAUUGUUUACUUAGAACAUGUGACCAAAUACCAUGUCUUUGGACUACUUUAAAAACAUAGAAGUGAAUUUGUCUAAAUACAUUAGUUCCUCUAAAAAGUGUGGUCUGUUUUAACAGUUCAAUGCAUAUGAAUGAAAAUAAUUCACAUUUAAGCCAUCUGCACUUAAAUGAUAGUCAUGAUAUCAUUUUAAGAGCCAAACAAAAUUAAAUAGAAAAUAAAUGGAUUCACAGUUCUAACAAUCUCAUGACUUGAGGGGAAUCUCGCUUAUGCUUAAACAGUGGGUCCAGCCUGAAAGACCUUGAGAUGAUGAACUAUGUACUACAAAAUGUUAACACUUUAAACCGAUGGUUCAAACUAGGUUUUACUGUGGUUUCAUCACAUAAAAUUGGAGAUAGAAAGCAAGCCAUUUACCCUUCUUCUAAUGUGUGUGACCUCAAUCUUACAGCUGAUCCUAUAUAUUACACAAUCAAUUGCCAUGAAGAAACUGCUGAACAGAGAAAGAGUAUUAUUGAUACACUGCCAUCCAUAGAUAUCCUUCCCACCCUGACAGUUGUUUUGCAGGGGGCAAAAUAAAAGCACCAGUAGGCAUGCAAUGUUAUCUUUAGUUCUGUUCACCUAGAAGAACUAGAAUACAUUUGAUCAUGCACUUAUGUUUUGUAUUUUAUUAUUCUGCUUAGGAUUUCACCCCCAAAUACAAACUAACAUGGUAAAAACUGUGAUAUGUACUUAUCAAAUGUAUGUCCAUUCAUGAUGUUGUAAGAUGAGACCACACAUUUGACUGAUUAUCUGUGCUGCCUUUGGCCAUUGAUCCUGGAACCAAAUGUCCACGCUGCCUGCUUGAUUGAGCCAUUUGGUUUGCUAUCCUGUUCACAUGAUUAAAUACAAAGUACUGCUGGAAAAUGUUUCUUAGCAUUUACUUGGUUCUACUUCUAAAGGACUGGUAAGAAAAGUGGAGGACAAGCUCUAAUCAUCCACAGACUUGUUUGAUAAGACUGGGUUAUUCAACAGUGAAUCACGUUGUUGUUUGAAAAAAAUAUAUGUUUAAAGACAAAUUGAAAGGACUGUACGUUUUCUUAAAAUAGUAGACGUAUGCAUACAACGUUGCUAAACAUAUCAACGUGUGGAGGUUGAUAAAGAUAACCCGCGGAGUGAUGCAUUUUCACAGGAGUCAAACUGUGGGAUCAACACAAUGUCCACGUUGCAUUCCUUCUCCAAACCUCGCCCGGCAUUACAUUUUCAAGAUGUUACCCGCUACUCGACAAAAGUGGCGAACAUCAGUUUAAAUGUUCUGUAUAUAUAUAGUUGUAUAGACACUAUUUGUUCUUAAACAUGUGCUAGAUUUAUGUCUAUAUGUUCUUAACCACAGAUUUACAUACCAUAGGCUUAAUAAAAUGUUGUUAAAAAGAGGAAGAUUUCUCUUUUUUAUUUACGAGUUAUUCAUACCCAGACGUGUUUUGCAGGAGAGGUGUAUCUUCAACCUGUCAAAUACAAUUCCUUAUGUUUUGAUUGUUCUGUUCUAAUCUACUUCAAUUGUAUAAGUGCAUCCUUCUCUGGAUCUACACAUAUCAAAGCUGUCCUUUGGUCAACUGUGUACAUUAAGACUAGUUUCCUACACAGGAGAAUGGUACUCAGUCAUGACCAGAUGUCUGCUACAGAAAUAUUGCUUGUGUUUGUAGUUGGGCUUGUAAAUGUUGUUUAGCUUUGUCCAUCACAAAAGGCUGUGUGAUGUCUUGUAAUACAUACUAAUAUAUUAUGUUUAUCACGAAUGAAUAUAUUUAAUGACACAUGAAACAAAGUGGCUUUUGCUGUUUUUUGGGGGUUUUACUCUUUGCUUUGGAUAAUAGAUGACUGUAAUGAAAAAUUAAAGGUCUGUAGCUAUUGAACAGCCUUGUAGAUCUGAAAAUUAAUUCAUCUGAAAUAAAACUCUGUAUAAAAA
ensembl:lncRNA